GCCCGCUCGCCGGAAGACCAAGGGUUCCUGUCCAACGUUAAUCGGGGCAGGGUGAGUCGACCCCUAAGGCGAGGCCGAAAGGCGUAGUCGAUGGGAAACGGGUUAAUAUUCCCGUACUUGGUGUUACUGCGAAGGGGGGACGGAGAAGGCUAUGUUGGCCGGGCGACGGUUGUCCCGGUUUAAGCGUGUAGGCUGGUUUUCCAGGCAAAUCCGGAAAAUCAAGGCUGAGGCGUGACGACGAGGCACUACGGUGCUGAAGCAACAAAUGCCCUGCUUCCAGGAAAAGCCUCUAAGCAUCAGGUAACACGAAAUCGUACCCCAAACCGACACAGGUGGUCAGGUAGAGAAUACCAAGGCGCUUGAGAGAACUCGGGUGAAGGAACUAGGCAAAAUGGUGCCGUAACUUCGGGAGAAGGCACGCUGACAUGUAGGUGAAGUGAUUUACUCAUGGAGCUGAAGUCAGUCGAAGAUACCAGCUGGCUGCAACUGUUUAUUAAAAACACAGCACUGUGCAAACACGAAAGUGGACGUAUACGGUGUGACGCCUGCCCGGUGCCGGAAGGUUAAUUGAUGGGGUCAGCGCAAGCGAAGCUCCUGAUCGAAGCCCCGGUAAACGGCGGCCGUAACUAUAACGGUCCUAAGGUAGCGAAAUUCCUUGUCGGGUAAGUUCCGACCUGCACGAAUGGCGUAAUGAUGGCCAGGCUGUCUCCACCCGAGACUCAGUGAAAUUGAACUCGCUGUGAAGAUGCAGUGUACCCGCGGCAAGACGGAAAGACCCCGUGAACCUUUACUAUAGCUUGACACUGAACAUUGAGCCUUGAUGUGUAGGAUAGGUGGGAGGCUUUGAAGUGUGGACGCCAGUCUGCAUGGAGCCGACCUUGAAAUACCACCCUUUAAUGUUUGAUGUUCUAACGUGGACCCGUGAUCCGGGUUGCGGACAGUGUCUGGUGGGUAGUUUGACUGGGGCGGUCUCCUCCUAAAGAGUAACGGAGGAGCACGAAGGUUGGCUAAUCCUGGUCGGACAUCAGGAGGUUAGUGCAAUGGCAUAAGCCAGCUUGACUGCGAGCGUGACGGCGCGAGCAGGUGCGAAAGCAGGUCAUAGUGAUCCGGUGGUUCUGAAUGGAAGGGCCAUCGCUCAACGGAUAAAAGGUACUCCGGGGAUAACAGGCUGAUACCGCCCAAGAGUUCAUAUCGACGGCGGUGUUUGGCACCUCGAUGUCGGCUCAUCACAUCCUGGGGCUGAAGUAGGUCCCAAGGGUAUGGCUGUUCGCCAUUUAAAGUGGUACGCGAGCUGGGUUUAGAACGUCGUGAGACAGUUCGGUCCCUAUCUGCCGUGGGCGCUGGAGAACUGAGGGGGGCUGCUCCUAGUACGAGAGGACCGGAGUGGACGCAUCACUGGUGUUCGGGUUGUCAUGCCAAUGGCACUGCCCGGUAGCUAAAUGCGGAAGAGAUAAGUGCUGAAAGCAUCUAAGCACGAAACUUGCCCCGA
rnacentral:rRNA from 1 species